GACGUAGGGCGCGAGCGUUGUCCGGAUUUAUUGGGCGUAAAGAGCUCGUAGGCGGCUUGUCGCGUCGACCGUGAAAACUUGGGGCUCAACCCCAAGCCUGCGGUCGAUACGGGCAGGCUCGAGUUCGGUAGGGGAGACUGGAAUUCCUGGUGUAGCGGUGAAAUGCGCAGAUAUCAGGGAGGAACACCGGUGGCGAAGGCGGGUCUCUGGGCCGAUACUGACGCUGAGGAGCGAAAGCGUGGGGAGCGAACAGG
rnacentral:rRNA from 1 species